UACGGGGGGGGCGAGCGUUGUUCGGAAUUACUGGGCGUAAAGGGCUCGUAGGUGGCCAACUAAGUCAGACGUGAAAUCCCCAGGCUCAACUUGGGAACUGCGUCUGAUACUGGAUGGCUUGAAUUCGGGAGAGGGAUGCAGAAUUCCAGGUGUAGCGGUGAAAUGCGUAGAUAUCUGGAGGAAUACCGGUGGCGAAGGCGGCAUCCUGGACCGAGAUUGACACUGAUGAGCGAAAGCUAGGGGAGCAAACGGG
rnacentral:rRNA from 1 species